AGCAGUACUUCAGUCAGAGAGAAUCACUCUUUAGAUGCUCUUCAUCAACUCCGGGUUGGUAAGAUUAUUCAGACUUCAAUUAGUCUAGUCUCACUGAUUACAGUCCUGAUUAUACACACAGGGUUUGAAAGACCACACACACAGACUGGUGACAGUAAGCUGCAGUGUUUCAGAUCACAGUAUUUGACUUCAUCCUUCAGUACAGCGUGAAGUGAAUCAACCAGACGAGAUGUCUCAGCAGAAAUUUGAAGACCUCAGUGAUGAACUGCAACAAUGCAUUGAGAAACUCAACUCAGCAUACAACAGAAAUCAUACAACUCUCAGAGAUCAAAUAAAGAAACUGGAAGACAUCAUCAAAGAACUUGAAUCCAUGCACAAGAACACUACGAAGGGUAGUUUGGUAGGAGCAUCAAUAGGAGCAUUAGGAGGAAUUACAUUGCUGGGUAUAGCUUUGGCUCCAUUUACGUUUGGUGCUUCCAUAGCUGUUACUGGAGCGGCUGGUGUUACUGCAAUGGGUGUUGGAGUAACUGGAGGACUAAUAGGUGCAGCGUCUAACAUCACUAACAUGUGGAGGCAGAAAAACCUGCGUCAGACUAUUGAAAAUAUCAUCAAUGAUUUCCAGAGCAAAAUCGAACCAAUGAUUGCGCAUCUCAAUACAAUUUCUCAAACCAUAGAAAACCUUCAGAAAGUGGAGAGCAUGUAUUCUCUUCAAAAUAAGGCAGUGCUGACAACUGUUAAAGCUGUGAAAACUGCUAAUAACAUUAGUAGUCUUUUACAUGUGCUUCGAACUACUAAAAUUGGGAAAGUGUUCGCAAGAGCUGCCAAAACAGUUCAAGUGGUUGGGAAACUAUAUGCGUCGAUCUCAACUAUAUUUUUUUUCCUUGAUAUUUACACAAUUUACUGUAAUUCAGCAGAGCUCUCUGAAAUGAAUUCAGGAAAAGAGAAAAAAGCAGAAGAAAUCAAAUCAGAAACUUGGAGUUUUAUUUGUGAAAUGAGAAAAAUAUCUGCUAGAUUUCAGGAGACUCUGGACGAAAUUACAUGUGCUAGAGACGCUAUUAACAAAGCAUUACAAAUCAGUCAAAAUCAUUUUUGAAAUGACUGAACUGCUCUGUUUAGUGUUGUCACUUUAAAAUGAAAUCUUGACAACUGAAGGGGUACAUAUACAUGCAAACUCUCAUAUAACAGUUUAUUUGAAGAAAAUGUUAAAGAAAAGAAGGUAAAGCAUACAUGUUUACUCAAUUAUUUUGCAAUAUAUGUGAUUGUGUAGUCUGCAUGACCUUGGAUAAACUCUAUUUGCAAACAGUCUUUGUAAAUGAACCACUUGCACUGGGGUUUAGAUCUUUUUAUUUCUUCUGAGAUUCUAUGGGCAUCCAUUUCAUUUGCUCUUUUUGUGAAGAAUGAUACUGUUUUACAAUGUAAAGAUCAAAAUAGCUAUUGCAAAAAUAAAUGGACAUGAUCUCUCCAACAUAUUUACCAAAUUGUGUGAUCUUUUAUAGAAAAGUGUUUGUUAAAGUAAACUGAAGCUAAAAUAAACCAAUUUUGUUUAAUAAUAACAACAAAUGAUAAUGAUGUUUAUUUUAUAUAGCACCUUCCAACAAACUCAAGGACACUUUUCAAUCAUAAAUACAUAAACAUAACAACAAAAAUAAGGAUAGGCAUAUAUAAACAUUUAGUGUAGAGAAAACAAAACAAAAGCAGAUCAGGAGACAGGAAAACUAGAAAAACAAAGUAAAUGGAUACAUUUUCAAAUGAGCUUUGAAUUCCUGUAAUGGAGAAUGUUGUAUUGAAUAUGGAAACUAAUAGGCAGUCAGUGUAGUCUGUAUAGAAGAUGGGAAAUGUGAGAAGAUUUCUUGGUACGUAUAAGUACCCUAACUGCUGAGUACUGAAUAUAUUGAAGCGUACUGUAUGUAAAGUUGAAGUGGGUAAACCAAAGAAAAAAGAACUACAGUAGUCUAAACGGGAAGUUUAGCGUGGACUAGGGUCUCCACAUCACUGAUAUUUUAAAAUGGAUGUAAACAAGCAAUAUUUCAAAGGUGAAAUAAGGCAGAUUCAGUGAGCGAUAUGAUAUGAAAAGAGAAAGACAGGGAAGAAUCGAAAAAUGUACCUAGGUUUUUAACAGAGGUGGAAGGUUGCACACAAUCACCAGCAAUAUCAAUUUUUGCAAAACAGGGGGUCAAUCAAAAGUUUUACAAGUGUUACAUUUAAGAAAAGUCUUGGUCAUCCAUGCAUUUCUUUCAUCAAUGCAGGCUGAU